GACGAACGCUGGCGGCGUGCUUAACACAUGCAAGUCGAACGGAAAGGCCCUGCUUUUGUGGGGUGCUCGAGUGGCGAACGUGUGUGUAACACGAGAGUAACCUGCCCUUGACUUUGGGAUAACUUCAGGAAACUGGGGCUAAUACCGGAUAGGAGCUCCUGCUGCAUGGUGUGGGUUGGAAAGUUUCGGCGGUUGGGGAUGGACUCGCGGCUUAUCAGCUUGUUGGUGGGGUAGUGGCUUACCAAGGCUUUGACGGGUAGCCGGCCUGAGAGGGUGACCGGCCACAUUGGGACUGAGAUACGGCCCAGACUCCUACGGGAGGCAGCAGUGGGGAAUAUUGCACAAUGGGCGGAAGCCUGAUGCAGCAACGCCGCGUGCGGGAUGACGGCCUUCGGGUUGUAAACCGCUUUCGCCUGUGACGAAGCGUGAGUGACGGUAAUGGGUAAAGAAGCACCGGCUAACUACGUG
rnacentral:rRNA from 1 species